rnacentral:misc_RNA from 1 species
GCAAACUUGGUCAUUUAGAGGAAGUAAAAGUCGUAACAAGGUUUCCGUAGGUGAACCUGCGGAAGGAUCAUUAACAAAUUGUUAUUCAUAUUCACCUUGUGUGCAAUUUUGCAUAAAAGUUAAUAAUGCUCUUUGGAAAAAUUAUUUUUAUCAUAAUUCUUCCAAAAAGGUUAUUAUAAUCAAUCUAUUUUUUCUUUUCUAUAUUAUGUCUAAAACUAUAUAUCUAAAAUGAAAAAUAACUUUCAACAACGGAUCUCUUGGCUCUCGCAUCGAUGAAGAACGCAGC